rnacentral:lncRNA from 1 species
AACUCAGCACAUGGUAACUAAAGCCGGAGCGAAGAUCUUCACUUCUUCCUCUUCUUUGGGGGCUGGAGUGAGUCUUCAUCAUCAUCUUCCUCCUCGUCCUCAUCCUGGUCGUCGUCUUCCUCCUCAUCUACACCAUCCUCCUCCUCGUCAUCCCCAUUGUCAUCCCCAUUGUCGUCGUCCUCAUCAUCCCCAUUGUCAUCGUCAUCGUCGUCAUCGUCAUCGCCGCCACCACCCUCCUGGUCUUCGGGAUCUUC